UCUCUUUAAUAACUUGGGACUGAUUUCCAGUCAAGUGCAAAGCAAGUCUGAGACGUAAGCGUACAUUUAGUGUUUCAGUAGAAACAACCAGAAAGAAAAGAUGUACGAAAACAACAAAAAAAGCAGAAAGCAAAAUAGCGGAACAAAAAAAGAAGAAAGAAGAGAGAAAAGGAGAGUAGAGAAAGAAGAGAGAGAGGAAAAAGUAAAGCCAUGGGGCAUUAUCUCGUUGUCAGCCACGUUAUCCGCGGUCCAAACAGAUGUACAUUUAGCGGGGGAGACACCUGCUGUGCUGCUAGCCUGGCUAGCUCUCUGAUUAGCAGGGGGAGACGGCUGGUUCCCAGGGUUCCUUUCCCAGUCUCCCUCCACGAUGACCUUGGCUGCUCCCACAGCGCUCCUCAGCUAUGGCUCCCCUGCUAGGGCUGAAUGGUGGCCCGGGACGCAGGGCCUCGCCCGAGCUGCUUUGAAACUAAUCCCCCUACAUUGUGCUAGCACGGCACCCUACCUGGCUCGCUAGCCUAGAGGCGGCGCAGCGGCCAUUGAAAGUAAGGUGAUGAAUGAAGGCGUAGCUGCAGGAAGCCUGGCUCCCCACGAAGCCCAUGCGACAGUGCAGGCCACAAAGCUGCUUAAAACAGUCACUAGCGUUUUUCCUCAGUUUUGGUGGAUUUCGGAUAAGACGAAAGAUGCCCCAAGUAGUCCUUGUUGUCUUGGGCUUUUGGCGAAAGCAUCUCAUUCUCUGAAUUUGAGGAGCGGGAACGGUGGUUAGGCUUUCGAAAAACGUAAACAACGAGUCACCAGCCGUCCUUAGAUGCAAAGUAUACCUGGAGACACUGGUCAACACAUCAUUGCAUACACACCAAGGCAAAUCUGACACAAACACGCACAUGCAGACACACGCAAACCUGCACACUCAAGACAACUGGAAAGGAAAUGCAUAGUGCUGCGAACAGUAGGAGCCGGCCAAAAUUGAUCGAGGGUGGCAAGGGACAGCGGACGGACCUCUUAAAGCGGUAGCGUCCUUUUUUUCAAGACCACCACCCCACUGUUUUGAGGGACGCAAGAGGGAGCCGACCCAUGUCCAGCUAAGCCACAGAACCAACCUUGACCAUGACCCUGUUGUCACAGACGUGUAUGGAUUGUCUCAUCCUUUAUCAUCUACAAGCAUUCACAUAACGUCAUGGAAAAUGCUAGAAGCGUUUCGAGUAUGACCGUCACUCGCUAAUGUUUACGGAAAUUCCACAUGACACCACGAGAACCUCCUGAGAUCCAUAAAGUCUAUUCAUUACUGUUCCUCAGUCCUAGCCGACAAAAGAGGGGUUUGAUCGUGUUUGGAAUUCACCACAGUGGGAAUAUAAAAGCCCACUCAUUCCAUCAUUCACACAUCUAGAAGAACCGGGGCUGGCAGCAAUGCUCGAUUCUGCCAAUUCAGAUUUCGCCCGGUGACACGGAAUCGUAAAUCUGUCUCCAAAUACAUUUAGACGGCGGUAAAAAACAAAACCCACAACCAUCUCAUUGUAACGUCACCACGCUGUAGAGAGAAGAGAGGACUGCUGGGUGUCAGACUCUUAAGGGAGCCGAAGCAGAAUUGAAUGCCUCUUGUCAGGGGGUUCUGAUGCGAUUAGCGCCCCCUGCUAGGGCAGGGAUAGUGAAGUUGUCUGGAGCUGGCAAGGAGACUCAAAUGGCACCACGGGAUGCCCUCUCGCCUGGAAGCCUUCCCUGGACGCAGCAGGGGAGGUGGGGGCCAGGGUAUCCACCAUCCACACCAGGGAGUCUCUCCCUCUCUGUUGUGUGUGUGUGUGUGUGUGUGUGUGUGUGUGUGUGUGUGUGUGUGUGUGUGUGUGUGUGUGUGUGUGUGUGUGUGUGUGUGUGUGUGUGUGUGUGUGUGUGUGUGUGUGUGUGUGUGUGUGUGUGUGUGUGUAAUUUGACUUUUAUUGUUAUAGUGAAGAGAGCGUCAAUUGGUCACUGUCAGGUCUGCCUGAUUGCAGCAGAGGCUCCUGGAUGUGUGUGUGUGUGUGUCUCCAACCCCCAUUCCUAACCUCUGAAUGUCAUGUCCAUGUCAAAUCGCUGCCGUAUGUCGUUGGAACAAAGCUUUGUCCUUGAGAAUCACUGGAGAUGAUACUAAUGAUAUCCACAUCAUUGUGUACCUCCAAAACAAUCUCCGCCAUAACCCGAGACACAACAUACCAUAUACUAUGUGUAAAAAAAAAGGUCGCUGAAAAAACAACAACGACUCAUCGAGAGAGACAACUCCCACGAGCUCUUCUAGGCCUAAAUCUCUCUCUCCUUUAAAAAAAAAAGAAUACACAAAUGUUUCCCGGCGACACUGAGACGUGUUUCUUCCUAUCGUUAUUCUCUUUAGCCUUGAACGUCUCUCUCUGGCCUGUAGACGUUGAGAAGACGAUCUCAUGAUGUAUUCGUGCUUGAAAGGGACAUUUGGUUCAUGAUGCACGAAUGUAAGUGAAUAAUGCAGCCAGUAAAGCAUCUCUCCUCAUCACUUUCUUUGCCCCUGCAGUGUUUUGCAUGCAUUUGUAUAGAAUUACUCCCCCUAUGUAGACAUCAUACUGGUGUAGUAAGAUAAAACACCACGUGAAAUCAAGUGAACCAGUGGCAUACAGGAAGUGACAUACGAUCUUACAACCCCUUCGCUACUUCUCCCUGCUUCUCUCGAGCCCUCUGACCACCUACGUGGUGUGUGGAUCAGACGGAUAAAGUAUUUUGGGUUCCGGGGUAUUUCAGACGUUUCAGUUGAUACCCCUACCUCUCUCUCUGCUGCAGUCCCCCCUGAGGCGGUGUAAAAUAAGACUUCAAAGCGCUCUCCGAAAUAGUCCUGACACAAUCUCAUUUCCUCGUGUUGCAAGGAGGGCUGCUCAGACUGGAAUGUCUCCCUCAGACUGUGUGUCCUAAGUAGCACCCUAUUCCCUAUAGAGCGCACUACUUUUGACCAGAGUCCUAUUGUCCCUGGUCAAAAGGAGUGCUCUAUACAGGGAAUAAGGUGCCAUUUAGGAUGUAGACCGGGUCUGCUCUACCUCAGAGCGACUGACUGCUGCAUGAUGACGGGAGGCCAUUUUGACAGAGGCGAUUAAAUAUGGACACUUGGACAUCUGCUUAAGGCAAAGCCAGAUGGGAGGAGAAUUUACAAGGGCCCGGCUGGGUCACGUUGGGUUCGGGGUGAAAAGGAAAUGGCAGAGGCUCAUUUGGUAAGUGGCUAUAACGAGUGACGGCCCACAAAUGACUGGGAAGUAUGACAUUGUACAGAGGACGUAUUAGCGGUUACGUUUCGGUCUGUGGGAUUGGGAGAUGUGAUGAUAGUGUAUUGGCAGUCGAUGUAUUGUAUCUAAAGCAUGUGUUUCUUGAUUCAUCGUGUGUUUUGAUGUGCUGAUUUGAAUAAAUAGACCUUGUGGGUAAGAUGAAGCUAAACCUUGCACAAAUCCACACAAACAUGAGAUUUCCAAGUAUUUCUUAGAAUGCUGUUUGCACAGUGUGUGUAUGAAUAAUGAUAUUAUUAUGUUUGGGUUUAUACAAGCAAACUGGAUUAAAAAUGUCUGACACUCUCCUUGACUGGAAUUCAGUCACGACUUUGACACACUUAUUACGCAGGAAUACUACCAGAAAUUACAGCUGCCACAGAUCUGACACACAUUCAGUCUCUCUAUCCUUGAUGGACCCUUUCCAUCAAAGGCAGUCCCUCAUUUUCUUCUUUUCGAAAUGUGUUUUUUUCACUUAAUUUCAGUAUGGCUAAAAUGACAGCCACAACUUAAAUUGCAUUCUCUCUGUCUGUGUCUCUCUGUCUGUGUCUCUCUGUCUGUGUCUCUCUGUCUGUGUCUCUCUGUCUGUGUCUCUCUGUCUGUGUCUCUCUGUCUGUGUCUCUCUGUCUGUGUCUCUCUGUCUGUGUCUCUCUGUGUGUCUCUCUGUGUGUCUCUCUGUCUGUGUCUCUCUGUGUGUCUCUCUGUCUGUGUCUCUCUGUCUGUGUCUCUCUGUCUGUGUCUCUCUGUCUGUGUCUCUCUGUCUGUGUCUCUCUGUCUGUGUCUCUCUGUCUGUGUCUCUCUGUCUGUGUCUCUCUGUGUGUCUCUCUGUCUGUGUCUCUCUGUGUGUCUCUCUGUGUGUCUCUCUGUGUGUCUCUCUCUCUCUCUCUCUCUCUCUCUCUCUCUCUCUCUCUCUCUCUCUGUCUCUCUGUCUCUCUGUCUCUCUGUCUCUCUGUCUCUCUGUCUCUCUGCAUGCUGGGAGUUUUUGGUGCGUGCUGGGAAUUGUAUGACCGAGGGAGUGCGUGUGUUGUGUAGAGUUAGAUAUUCAGAACUUUCUUUUGGUUUUCUCUUUCUUGGUGGCAUUCUUUGUUUUCUUCUGUGCAUGAUUAAGGUUAUUAUUUUUAUUUUAGUUGUGGUGUAAUUAAGUAUUUUGUUUUUCGUAUCGAAAUUACCCUGAUUUUGGCGGGGAUGGCAGCCCGAAUGGGGAUGCCGUCCCUGUCACUUAAGCAUGGCUUUAGGUGUGUUACUGAAGCUGCUGUCACGGUGGAGGAGUUUCUGGUCGCCGUAGGAGAGAAGGUAGGAUAUGAGAAUGUUGCUUAUGCGUCACAGAUGAAUAAAGCGGUGGUGGUAUUUCUUAAAGAAGAGCGCCUUGUUGAUCGUAUGGUUGAAUGUUUAUUCACGUUACGUCGCUUUUUUCUCCGUCAACAAGGGUAACGAUUUCAAAUGUACCGCCGUUUAUUCCAAAUGAGCUACUGGAGUGCGAGUUAUUGCACUUUGGGAAGUUUGCAAGUUCAAUUAAGGUUGUCCCGUUGGGUUGCAAACACCCGGCGUUGAAACAGGUUAUGUCGUUUCGGUGACAGGUGUUUAUGUUUUUGGACUCACCGCUGACUUUGGAGUUAUCGUUUAAAGUCAAAUAUGACAAUUGACUGUAUAUGGCUUAUGCUAGUACGGGUAGUCAACGGUGUUUUGAGUGUGGGGAUGUUGGCCAUAAGCGACAUGCUUGCCCGAAAAGGGAGAAGGCAGAGGGAGGGGCGCAGGUGGUCCUCGUAAUGCCUGGGCCCACUGAUGUAGAGAGAGGUGGGCCAACAGUGGUAGAGCAGCCACAAGCACCUGUUGCUGAGGAACAAGUUAUCCGUGUUGAGGCCACGGAGUUGCAACUUGUAUUAGAGGGAAAUGUUAUGCAGCAGAAAAAUAUUGUUGUAGAAGGUAAGGAUGGAUCUGAAGAGCCAGUUCCUCAGACUGGUGAGGAGAUGCCCAGUACGAGUAAUGGGGCACAGGAGGGGGUUCAUGUGGAGCUAAUCUCCCAGGUAGUGGAGGAGAUGCCCAGUACGAGUAAUGGGGUAGAGGAGGGGGUUCAUGUGGAGCUAGGCUCCCAGGUAGUGGAGGAGAUGCCCACUACGAGUAAUGGGGUAGAGGAGGGGGUUCAUGUGGAGCUAGGCUCCCAGGUAGUGGAGGAGAUGCCCACUACGAGUGCUGGGGUACAGGAGGGGUUCAUGUGGAGCUAGGCUCCCAGGUAGUGGAGGAGAUGCCCACUACGAGUAAUGGGGUUCAGGUGGGACUAGUCUCCCAGGUAGUGGCGGAGAUGCCUGGUACGAGUGAUGGGGUGCAAGUGGGGAGUGUUGAAAGGGAUGUGGUAGAAGGGAGUCAGUGGUCUGUGGCCUCAGCUGAGGAGGAUCAGGAGAAGGAUAUGGAUAUCUCUUUUGAUAUGAUAGGAGCUGGUGAGGACUCAAUUUAUGAUCAAGAGGAGGUAAAUGGGUUUCUGGAUAAGACUUUUGGGAAAUCUGUCAAAUUGGCAGAUUAUUUUGAUGUCGAUAAGUUUGUGAGGUCAGCUGUGACGUUACAGAGACGGUGGGGUUAGACCAGUUGAGUGAGAAGAAGUGGUUUCGCUUGAGGACAUUUUUUACUGCUAUUGCAGCAGCAAAAGGUGGUGGGAAACGUGGUCAGGUUAAUAAGAGAACAUUUAAAUAAUGACGAUGAUCAUGCUUCAUAGGGUGUCUUUUUGUCACGAAUCCCGCUUCCUGAGUCUGGGUUUGCCUGUGUGUCUGUCCUGGAGUGUGUUUCAGGUGUCCUGGAACGCACCCUGUCUGGUUGCCGGGCGAAUUAGCUCGUUGGGAGAUUGAUGUUCACCCGCACCUGUUUCCCAUCAGUAAUCUGCACACCUGUCCUGAUCAUCAUCUCUCCCCUUCAAAAGCUCUGACCUGACUUCCAUUCCCUGCCGGAUCGUUAGCCAUGAACAUUACUCACCUGGAUCAUUCUCUCCAUUCCCGCCUGGUUGACAGAGGAUUCAACUACUCCAUUGGAUUCACCUAUUUCCCCUCAUCAAUUCUCCACCACUGCCCGCUACGCCAUCUGGAUAUAUCUACCCUUUCACAUUUAAUUGUAAAUAAAUACUCACCUUCUUCUUA